CAGUCGCCACGGGAAUACGUAGGGUGCGAGCGUUAAUCGGAAUUACUGGGCGUAAAGCGUGCGCAGGCGGUUGUGUAAGACAGGUGUGAAAUCCCCGGGCUUAACCUGGGAACUGCGCUCGUGACUGCACAGCUAGAGUAUAGCAGAGGGGGGUGGAAUUCCACGUGUAGCAGUGAAAUGCGUAGAGAUGUGGAGGAACACCGAUGGCGAAGGCAGCCCCCUGGGCCAAUACUGACGCUCAUGCACGAAAGCGUGGGGAGCAAACAGGAUUAGAUACCCCGUAGUCCCUGUCUCUUAUACC
rnacentral:rRNA from 1 species